rnacentral:misc_RNA from 1 species
CACAUAUGUGUUGGAUAUCAAGCAAAUGACCCAAAAAGCUCCUGACCCCUACGCACCCCGCCCUGUCCUGUCUGUGCAUUUGAAUAAACAUGCUGCAACCCCCGACCUGCCCCAUAAUUCCCAAGCAGUGACUGACGUGCAACUCCUAAUCCUCCAACUUGACGAGUUGGCACGAGACUCUGGCUCAUUGCACCAGCCAUUACCGGACUAAUUAUCCCAGUAGGACCAGGAGAAGCAGCAGCAGCAAGUGGGUUACCCAACAACCCUCCAUAAAGUGGAUUAAACCCAGGGUGCUGUCCAAACAAUGCGAAAUUCUGCGCUGCUGCUACUGCCGCCAACACCUGACCCUGCGG